UGAUAUGAUGCGAUGUUUGGCACUGUUACACUUGUGAUGCACACUGCUUCCUGCCCCUGUGCCAGAGAACAACAACAUUGCCACUCAGUACGUAACAAAGUUAAGCCACUGAGUACUGGAGUGACUGAAGAAUGCUCAAGUAAAGGUCACCAGCAAACACCCCUCCAUGGCACUGAUCCAGCUGGUGCCUUCACUGGCCUAGCAGAAGAUGGACAUCACCCAAGCUCCUGGCAGCUUGGAAAUCAGGUAUAGAGAUGAGCAGGAACAAGGGAGAGGCUUUCAUGCUGCUGCCUUUGCAGAUGACAGUAAGGAACUGGGGAUGUAUGUGUCAAUGUGCAAGCCGUUACAAAACAAAGUGCUACUGUUAUGUUAAAAAGCAUGCAGUAGACUUAGCACAAGACAAAACAUCAAAGGGAAGAAUAAAAGGAUUUAUGUUCAGAUCUGCAAGCCUGGAUCAAAUGCUGAGCCUUAAGGGUUGAAUUUUAAUCCAAACUCAGGUACUCACCCAAGGUACCAGUGCAGAGACAGUUGUGUGUCCGAGGCUGCGGUUUGGUCUGGUGACUAUCAAGGAUCUGCUGCACGAGCUGUUCCACCGAGAACCCUGAACUGCUGUUUCCAUUGCUGCAUGUCCA